CCUACGGGUGGCAGCAGUGAGGAAUAUUGGUCAAUGGACGAGAGUCUGAACCAGCCAAGUAGCGUGAAGGAUGACUGCCCUAUGGGUUGUAAACUUCUUUUAUAUGGGAAUAAAAUGGUCCACGUUGGGGAGUUUGUAUGUACCAUAUGAAUAAGGAUCGGCUAACUCCGUGCCAGCAGCCGCGGUAAUACGGAGGAUCCGAGGGUUAUCCGGAUUUAUUGGGUUUAAAGGGAGCGUAGGUGGGUUGUUAAGCCGGUUGGGAAAGUUUGCGGCUCAACCGUAAAAUUGCAGUUGAAACUGGCAGUCUUGAGUACAGUAGAGGUGGGCGGAAUUCGUGGUGUAGCGGUGAAAUGCUUAGAUAUCACGAAGAACUCCGAUUGCGAAGGCAGCUCACUGGACUGCAACUGACGCUGAGGCUCGAAAGUGUGGGUAUCAAACAGGAUUAGAUACCCUGGUAGUC
rnacentral:rRNA from 1 species